GAUCAUGGCUCAGGGUGAACGCUGGCGGCGUGCCUAAGACAUGCAAGUCGAGCGGGGCAGGUUUAUACCUGUUCAGCGGCGGACGGGUGAGUAACGCGUGGGUGACCUACCCGGAAGAGGCGGACAACCUGGGGAAACCCAGGCUAAUCCGCCAUGUGGUCCUGUCCUGUGGGGCAGGACUAAAGGGUGGAUAGCCCGCUUCCGGAUUGGGCCCGCGUCCCAUCAGCUAGUUGGUGGGGUAAAGGCCCACCAAGGCGACGACGGGUAG
rnacentral:rRNA from 1 species